CGAACGCUGGCGGCAGGCCUAAUACAUGCAAGUCGAACGGCUCUUCGGAGCAGUGGCGGACGGGUGAGUAACGGGUGGGAAUGUGCCCUUUGGUACGGAACAACACAGGGAAACUUGUGCUAAUACCGUAUGUGCCCUUCGGGGGCAAGAUUUAUCGACGUUGGAGCAGCCCGCGUUGGAUUAGGUAGUUGGUGAGGUAAAGGCUCACCAAGCCUACGAUCCAUGGCUGGUCUGAGAGGAUGACCAGCCACACUGGGGCUGAGACACGGACCAGACUCCUACGGGAGCCAGCAGUAGGGAAUCUUGCGCAAGGGGCGAAAGCCUGACGCAGCCAUGCCGCGUGUAUGAUGAAGGUCUUAGGAUUGUAAAAUACUUUCACCGGUGUAGAUAAUGACGGUACCCGGAGAAGAAGCCCCGGCUAACUUCGUGCCAGCCGCCGCGGUAACAC
rnacentral:rRNA from 1 species